rnacentral:tRNA from 1 species
GGAUGGGUGCCCGAGUGGUCGAAGGGACCGGUCUUGAAAACCGGCGACGGCUAACCCCCGUCCGUGGGUUCGAAUCCCACUCCAUCCG